rnacentral:rRNA from 1 species
AUGGCAUGCCCUCCUUGCCCGCCGUCGCCGCUCGCCAGGGUGCGGCUCGACGACGUGGCGCCCCACGACGGCGCGGCCGCCCCGGGCUACGCGCGCGCCGUCGGCGCCCUCGCCGCCUCGCUCGCCCGCCGCGGCGCCGCCGUGGUCGAGCUCCCCGCCGCCGACGCGGCCGUCGUCCGCUGCGCCCUCGAGUCCGCCCGCGCCUUCUUCCGCGGCCGCCACGCCGCCUACCUCUACCGCGCCGGGAGGAAUUUAGAAGAUGGAGAGUUGUCCCCUGCUUGCAUGGCGGAUGCUUUCAGAUGUUUGGGCAAAGCAGCCCGUGCCGCCCUCUGUGCAAUAGCACGGCACCUGCGCCUACGUACCGACGUAUUCAACCAAUUACUUGAUGAUACUCCACUGCCGGUUAACGAGGUCUCCUCAUCAGAGUUGCUGGUGGCAUAUACUCAUGAGCAGCUCCAAAGUGGUCAGACACUCAUGGGAUGUCCCAGCAGGUCCUCAAUGCCUCAAGUUGAUAGGGGAUUUGUGACGCUAGUUGCUUCCGAUUAUCCAGGAAUUGAGGUUUGUGACCCAAAUGGCCAUUGGUACCUAGCUGAUGGGGUUUCAGGCCCAAAUAAUCUAUUGCUUCUGACUGGAAGGGCCCUAAGUCACGUUACUGCUGGUCUUUGCCCAAUUUCCCAGUACAGGGUCACUAAUGAAAAUAGGGCAUCACUCACCUUUAGGUUGGUCCCUCAUGCCAACGCUAUAUUGGAUUGCUCUCCAAUUUUAGCUGCUGGGCAUUGCAUACGACAGGUGUACCAACCCAUACCUGCAAGCCAAUUUAUGGAUGAUUCUUAUGCUGAAGAGCACGCUGUUUCCAGUCACUUGGAAGAACCUUCUGAAUCUCAGGGCAACUUUGUUAGUGACCCAUCACUCAGAAGUGUCCUGUCAGACCCUCUGUCUGGGGCUUUUCUUGAAGAUGCUAUGGUUCUCCAAUGUGGGCACUCAUUUGGUGGCGUCAUGCUGAAGAAAGUCAUUGAAAUGGCUAGAUGCACCAUUUGCAAUGGGGAAGUUGACCCAUCCUCCUUGUUUCCUAAUCUCGCUUUGAGAGCAGUAGCCACAGUGGUGAAGAUGGAGGAUGACAGGAGACUGUUUCAUAACGCCGCUCUUCGGAAGCGCAGGAAAGAUGUGACCGAGCAUACGGAUGUGCCGAAGCGGACUGGGAGUAGCAAAGCCAACAGUGAGUUUGCCCUGGAUGCUGAAAGCCCGGUGGCAUUCAAGGGAGUGCAGUACCCAUUUGUAGUGGGCGAGAGGGUCCUGAUCAUGGGAAACAAAAGGACGCCUGAGAAAUUCGUCGGGAAGGAGGCGGUCAUCACUUUGCAGUGUCUGAAUGGCUGGUAUCUUGUGAAGGCGCUCGACAGCGGAGAGAGCACGCGGCUGCAGUACCGGUCGCUGAAGAAAGUGCCGGAGCUGCAACUGCAGACGCAAGCGAGGCUGCAGCCCCUGGCAUUUCUCGGAGGCAGACAAUAA